GGACCUGGUGUCUAUUUUACUGCUGUUCCUGCAACAAAAGAGUGUUCAUCAUUUGUGGAGAAGUAGGUUCUGGGACUUCUGGACUACUACAGAGGAAGAGAAGAGGCCACUGGUCCGAACACUACCAUCAGAAUGACCUGCAACUGAGCCAUCUAGAACAAGAGCCAGCAGGCCCAUGUGUCUGCGAGCUUGGCGUCCAGCUGGUCCACACGGGCUGGCUGGGAACACUGCACAGGCGUUUUGUCCUGUGCGGUUUGAUCCACAGAGGCUGCUGCUGAGGUGUUCAUCUUUUGGCUCCUGAGAUGGUACCAAAUUGAUGGCAGAUGAACGGUAGUUCUCAAAGAUACAGGGGCAUGGCUUAGCAUCACCCAUAACUUUAUCUUCCUCUAUCUUUCGAAGCUAUAGCAUCUCAUUGGAAUGGCUCUACGCAUCAGUUACAUAAGACCUGAAGGUAUGAGAGGCACACUCACCUGCAAUGACCCCAGAGCAGGGCUUGAAGGAUGCGCUGGUUCUGAAAGAGUUCCCUGACUCUGCUUCUUACGUGUUUCAUUUUCAAAAAUCAGACUAUGGAAGAAAGCUGACAGUCAUGUGAGCUUUCUGAUUGCCCAGAUUCUGUGUAUGUGUGUGUGUGUGGGAGGGGGGUAGCAUUUUCCUGUAAUUAAACUAUAAGAACUAAUUGUAAUUAAAUUGGACUGUCUAUAAGAAAUCUGUCACUUCUCAGAAUUAGCUGUGAGGAUGAACCUCAAGUGUGGGUGUAAUUAAGACCCCAGCUGUGGAGGUCGUCAGGGCCUGGUGCAGGUGGGAAUAGAUGGGCGUAGAUUUCCCACAAUCUUUGUCUGUCUCCCCCAUCCCCCAGAACAGGUGGGUCAGGGCACCACGACUUCUAAGACUGGAGUCUAACACAGUGUUCAUGAUUCUUGCUAAUAGAAGCAGAAAAAAAAAAUCAAGGACCGCCUUGGAAUCAAUGAUCUAUGGCACAUUAAGGGCACACUAAGCUAACGUGAAGAGGAAGAGACUACAAGUUUACCUUCUAUUAUACUCCAACUGGUAAACAGAGCCUCAAAGAACCAGAAGCUUGGAGAGCAGGGUGAUGCUGCCGAAUGUCCCAUUAUCCAGCACCACGAUGAGUCACAUACACAGACUGUGGCCGGCACUGGCCAGUUCCUUUCCAGCUGUGGAUAACCUUUUCUGCACAAAAAGGUACAAAUCCUAGAACACAAAUUAUUUGAAGGCGGCAACUGUAAUCUUCUGUCUGCAUUCCUGGCACCCAGUAGGAUCUGGCACACAGUGGGGGCUUACUAAGUACCAGCCCGACUUCUCAGGCAGGUAGCUACUCAUACUAUAACUACUGUCAUCAGUAUAGACAUCCGAUACACUACGGACAGGACUCCCCGCUUCCCUCACAUUCUGUGUCUUGAUUGGUGGGCUCACCAGUAAAAGCAAAUGACCUGACAGCCAUCCGACUCAGUGUCACGGAGCUUCGCAGCUAUCUUCUCCUCAUUGAAUACAUAAGCAUGUGUGCCCAUCACUCCUUCCUCAUGAGAACAUCUGUAUGGCUAUUUAUUUCCUUCUUCCUUUAUAGGUAACCAUGACUUGCCUUAGAAAUCUAUAAACGACUUUCUA
rnacentral:lncRNA from 1 species